rnacentral:misc_RNA from 1 species
CUACGGAGUACAAUACCAAACACACGAUUUGGAAUUAACCUUUUUAAGACCUUAUUAAUUUAAUAACGUUAUGGACUUGUUAGGUCGCAAGUAUGUAUCUAGUUUUGAGAGAACAUUUCUCUCGAAAUUGUUCUUUGAAAACUGAAUAGUAAUUAUUUUAAAAUAUUACAACGACAUCAAAAUUGAAUAAAUUUUUUUGGUUUAUUCGUAUUGAUUCAUCGAGUAAUCAUAAAACAUUAUGAUUCAUUGAAAUGUCUUAAAAUACACAUCAUAACAAUAGGAAAUCUUAAUUUUAAAUUAAGGACAUA